rnacentral:tRNA from 1 species
GGGACCAUAGCUCAGCUGGGAGAGCACCUGCCUUACAAGCAGGGGGUCACAGGUUCGAGCCCUGUUGGCCCCACCA